CGACUUCUAAGGAGUCCCACAAUAGGACGAAACAGCCGUCCAGUAC
rfam:Schistosoma curassoni strain Dakar, Senegal genome assembly, scaffold: SCTD_contig0000601